GCCGGGCUGGUGUAAUGGUAGCACGUCCUAGGGGUAUCACAGGCCAGGAAAUUUCGGGUUCGAAUCCUGGGCCCGGGU